AUUGAACGCUGGCGGCAUGCCUAACACAUGCAAGUCGAACGGAUGCGGGGGGCUUGCUCCGGGGUUCAGCGGCGGACGGGUGAGUAAUACCUAGGAAUCUGCCCAGUAGUGGGGGAUAACGUCCCGAAAGGGGCGCUAAUACCGCAUACGUCCUGAGGGAGAAAGUGGGGGAUCUUCGGACCUCACGCUAUCAGAUGAGCCUAGGUCGGAUUAGCUAGUUGGUGGGGUAAAGGCCUACCAAGGCGACGAUCCGUAGCUGGUCUGAGAGGAUGACCAGUCACACUGGAACUGAGACACGGUCCAGACUCCUACGGGAGGCAGCAGUGGGGAAUAUUGGACAAUGGGCGAAAGCCUGAUCCAGCAAUGCCGCGUGUGUGAAGAAGGCCUUCGGAUUGUAAAGCACUUUAGGUUGGGACGAAGAGCAGUAAGCUAAUACCUUGGUUCGUUGACGGUACCCACAGAAUAAGCACCGGCUAACUUCGUG
rnacentral:rRNA from 1 species